GGGGAUAUGGCUCAGUGGUACAGCUCUUGCCUUGCAUGCAUGAGGCCCUUCUUUAAUUCAGUACUGCCA
rnacentral:tRNA from 1 species